GACAGAGGUCUCAAGCGUUAGGCGGAAUCACUGGGCUUAAAGCGCGUGUAGGCGGAUUCCUAAGUACCUUGUGAAAUCCCCGGGCUUAACCCGGGAACUGCUUGGUAUACUGGGUGUCUUGAGCCAACUAGGGGCGACCGGAACAAACGGUGGAGCGGUGAAAUGCGUAGAUAUCGUUUGGAACGCCAAUGGUGAAAACAGGUCGCUGGGGUUGUGCUGACGCUGAGACACGAAAGCCAGGGGAGCGAACGGG
rnacentral:rRNA from 1 species